rnacentral:rRNA from 1 species
AGAGUUUGAUCCUGGCUCAGAACGAACGCUGGCGGCAUGCCUAACACAUGCAAGUCGAACGAGACCUUCGGGUCUAGUGGCGCACGGGUGCGUAACGUGUGGGAACCUGCCCUUAGGUUCGGAAUAACUCCUCGAAAGGGGUGCUAAUACCGGAUGAUGUCUUCGGACCAAAGAUUUAUCGCCUAUGGAUGGGCCCGCGUUGGAUUAGCUAGUUGGUGAGGUAAAGGCUCACCAAGGCGACGAUCCAUAGCUGGUCUUAGAGGAUGAUCAGCCACACUGGGACUGAGACACGGCCCAGACUCCUACGGGAGGCAGCAGUGGGGAAUAUUGGACAAUGGGCGAAAGCCUGAUCCAGCAAUGCCGCGUGAGUGAUGAAGGCCUUAGGGUUGUAAAGCUCUUUUACCCGGGAUGAUAAUGACAGUACCGGGAGAAUAAGCCCCGGCUAACUCCGUGCCAGCAGCCGCGGUAAUAC